ACUCCUACGGGAGGCAGCAGUGAGGAAUAUUGGUCAAUGGACGCAAGUCUGAACCAGCCAUGUCGCGUGCAGGAAGACUGCCCCUAUGGGUUGUAAACUGCUUUUUAUACGGGAAGAAAUAUAGCUACGUGUAGUUAUUUUGCCGGUACCGUAUGAAUAAGCAUCGGCUAACUCCGUGCCAGCAGCCGCGGUAAUACGGAGGAUGCGAGCGUUAUCCGGAUUCAUUGGGUUUUAAAGGGUGCGUAGGCGGAAGUAUAAGUCAGGGGUGAAGUUUGUGGCUCAACCAUAAAAUUGCCUUUGAUACUGUAUUUCUUGAGUACAUUUGAGGUAGGCGGAAUGUGUUGUGUAGCGGUGAAAUGCUUAGAUAUAACACAGAACACCGAUUGCGAAGGCAGCUUACUAAACUGUAACUGACGCUGAUGCACGAAAGCGU
rnacentral:rRNA from 1 species